rnacentral:rRNA from 1 species
CAACCUGCCGAUGACUCGGGGAUAGCCUUUCGAAAGAAAGAUUAAUACCCGAUGGCAUAGUUCUUCCGCAUGGUAGAACUAUUAAAGGAUUUCGGUCAUCGAUGGGGAUGCGUUCCAUUAGGUUGUUGGCGGGGUAACGGCCCACCAAGCCUUCGAUGGAUAGGGGUUCUGAGAGGAAGGUCCCCCACAUUGGAACUGAGACACGGUCCAAACUCCUACGGGAGGCAGCAGUGAGGAAUAUUGGUCAAUGGACGAGAGUCUGAACCAGCCAAGUAGCGUGAAGGAUGACUGCCCUAUGGGUUGUAAACUUCUUUUAUACGGGAAUAAAGUGAGGCACGUGUGCCUUUUUGUAUGUACCGUAUGAAUAAGGAUCGGCUAACUCCGUGCCAGCAGCCGCGGUAAUACGGAGGAUCCGAGCGUUAUCCGGAUUUAUUGGGUUUAAGGGAGCGUAGAUGGAUGUUUAAGUCAGUUGUGAAAGUUUGCGGCUCAACCGUAAAAUUGCAGUUGAUACUGGAUGUCUUGAGUGCAGUUGAGGCAGGCGGAAUUCGUGGUGUAGCGGUGAAAUGCUUAGAUAUCACGAAGAACUCCGAUUG